UAUCUUCUUCUUUCUUUCAUAACUUCGUUUUUCAUAAACACUUCCACUUCUCCUUGUUUCAUUCCUUUAAAUUUCUUUUUAAAAAUGGCAUCUUCUUCCCAUUAUCAUUACCAUAGAGGAGGUGAUGAUAAUGCAUUUGAAGGCGUAUUUGAUGAUAUAUUUGAAGAUCUCGAAGCUAUUCCCGAACCAAAAGAGCGAAAAAAACGUAUUUUUAUCGAGAGAAAUCGGGAAGAAGGCCACAACAACCUUUGGAAUGAUUAUUUUAGCGACACUCCAACAUAUCCGCACAAUUUGUUCCGCCGACGAUUUCGAAUGAACAAGUCAUUGUUCUUAUAUAUUGUGCAUCGUCUCUCUACUGAAGUUGAGUAUUUUAAACCCAAAGAAGAUGCAACCGGACGGUCUGGUUUAUCGCCUCUCCAGAAAUGUACCGCAGCAAUUCGUCAAUUGGCGUAUGGUGGUGGAGCUGAUCCCGUAGACGAAUAUAUACGACUUGCUGAAACAACAUCUCGUAAAUGUUUGCACGAAUUUACCGCCGGAAUAAUCCACUUGUUUGCCGAUGAAUACCUCAGACGUCCCACAGUGGAGGAUCUUCGGAGACUACUCCAUGAGGGUGAAGAACGGGGAUUUCCCGGAAUGAUUGGAAGCAUCGACUGUAUGCAUUGGGAGUGGAAGAAUUGCCCCACUGCCUGGAAAGGAAUGUAUUCACGAGGAACCGGAAAACCAACAAUUGUGUUGGAGGCCGUUGCUUCAUAUGACCUCUGGAUAUGGCACGCUUUCUUUGGCGCUCCAGGUACUUUGAACGAUCUUAAUAUUCUGGAUAGAUCACCUGUUUUUGAUGAAAUUAUUAACGGGAAAGCUCCCCAAGUAAACUACUAUGUCAACGGAAGGGAAUACAAUUUGGCGUAUUAUCUGACGGAUGGUAUCUAUCCAAAAUGGGCGACUUUUAUUCAGUCUAUACGACUGCCACAGGGUGCAAAAAAUUCUUUAUUUGCUACGCGUCAAGAAUCCGUUCGAAAAGAUGUCGAGCGGGCCUUUGGGGUCCUCCAAGCUAGGUUCGCCGUUGUUAGAAAUCCUUCUAAUCUAUGGGAUAAAAACAAAAUAUCGAAUAUUAUGCGAGCAUGUCUCAUACUCCAUAAUAUGAUUGUCCAAGAUGAACGGAAUUCAGAUACUCUUGAAGAAUUUCAAGAUGACGAUUUUACUUUUACCGUCAAAAAGGCUAAAAAACCCGGCAAUAUAAUUGCUCGUCGUAAAGAAGUUCGGGAUCCACAUAUCCAUCAACAAUUAAAAGAAGAUUUGAUUGAACAUAUAUGGGAUAAAUUUGGACAUCUUCCAAAUUACAUAUAAUGUGUUUUUGCUUUCUAUGAUUUAAAUAAAAUGUUUCUCUUAUUUUAUUUAUGCAUUUUGUAAUUUUUUUCCACUCCUUUGUAUUUUAAUUUUCAUGUUCUACGUAUUUUAAUUUUCAACUUUUCUUUAUAAUGUCAUAAGUUAUUCGAUAAUUUAUCUUCAAUUAAUAAAAAAAAAAUUAAUUCACUAAGGGACUUUCAUAAGUCCCACCAAUAAUCUAAUUUCUAAAGGAAAAUCCCUAAAUAUGACCUUAACUCACAAAUAACCUUAAAAUAUUCUAAGGGCCAAAAAAUCAAGACCCACCUAUAAUGUUGCUCUUAGGUUUCUCUUCGCUCUGUUUCCUCUCCGACAUCGAUUCAGUCCACCUCCGAACAGUUUCCUUUGGACAUCGAUUCAGAGUCGACCCAAACUUGGGAAGGUAUGUGUCUAACCUCCUUUGUAAUUUUGAGAAACCGAGUAGGGGUGUGUAGAUUCAAUGGUUGUUUGUUGAUUAUAUGUUUGAUUUGAUUAAAUGAUUGAUUUGAUUCGCUCUUCUUGUUCGUUGUUUGAUAUGCUCCGCUCUUGUGAUUGAAGUGGUUGUGAACGGAAUAGAUAUAUAAAAAUGUAUUGAUUCGUUGGUUCUUUGAUGCUUGCAAAAACUUUAAGAUUGAAUGGCUGUGAAUGAAAACUCGUAUAGAUUGAUCGAUAAUUCGUAUAGCUUCUAAGCUCGGGUCUUCUGUAUAUAUUUGAUGUAAUGGUUGUUUCAUAAUUAAUAUUCGUAUAGCUUUAUUGAAAAUUCGUAUAGCUUCUCUACCUUUCAAAAUCGGAUAGGUUGAUAGAAUUCUUUGGUCUGUUAUCAGUUAAAAUUUGAAGUAUUUUAAACAACUUAGAAUUAUGGUUUACAUCUCUUCACUCUUUACUCAACUAGAGUGACACCUCCUUAAUUUCACUCUUUACUCUAGUAGACUCACACUUCUUUACGUCUUUACUGAACUAGACAAACUAGUUCUACUGUCGUCGUUACUUGAAACCGUAGAUAGGUUAGUAAUAAGUUCAGAUUAGACAUAUAUGGUUUAUGGUUAGUCUUUAUGUAGAAACUUAAUACUCUUCACCAGCUAAUAUUAAACUCCCAUCUCAAUCCCCUUAAAUAUACACACCUGCCUUCUCUCUUCUAUCCAUCUCCUAAUCUACAACUCUCUCUCAAAUAUUUAUCUUGUAAAAGUCGUAUGGGUUCAAGAAAUUUUCAAAGUCAGUCCUCUAGUUACGUAGGACUGCUUAACAGUCAACAAGGAAGUCGUGUGAAUGAAAACUUUCCAUAUGAAAGUUUUCAUUCAACUGUCAACUUUGGAGAAUCGGAGAUCCCUCCCUUUAGUUCACAACAAGCUGAACAGACGCCAGUAGACACAUCAGUGGACCGUAAUGCUAGACGCAAAUGGGGCCCAGCUGAUGACGCGGUUCUAAUCUCUGCUUGGCUUAACACUUCGAAGGAUGCCGUUGUUGGAAAUGAGCAGAAGUUGGGGGCCUUCUGGAAACGGGUUGGAGAUUAUUAUGCUGCAAGUCCUCAUGGGCAACAGGAGGGUGAAAAGAGAGGGGAUCUUACUUGUAAGAAGAGAUGGCACAGAAUAAACGAUCAAGUUACAAAGUUCUGUGGGGCUUACUCCGCGGCAGAGAGACAAAUUGGGAGUGGUGAGAGUGACACUGAUGUUCUAAAGAAGGCUCACGACAUCUUCUACUCAGAUCAGCAAAGCAAGUUUACACUUGAGCAUGCUUCGUGCGUGUUGCGCUUUGAACAAAAAUGGCUUAGCCUCAACCCUCCUAAAGCCACUCACACUUCGAAGAGGAAGGAUGGUGAGACAGAUACAAGCGCCGCUGUCCCUGAUCACGAAAUCCGGCCUGAAGGUUGCAAGGCGGCUAAACAAAAAAGGUCGACUGUUCAAGGCAAGUCUGUUGCUGAGUAUACAACCAUAUGGGAAAUGAAGAAAGAGGAUUUGGCUACGCAGGAGAGACUGUCCAAGCUAGCUAUACUUGACACUCUCCUUGCGAGGAAAGAACCAUUAAGUGAGGCGGAGGAGGUUGUGAAGAAUAAGUUGCUAGCCAAGUAUUUCUGAAAGAUUAGGAUCUAAUCUUAUAAGUCUCUGUUUUAAAAUCCAUGUUUUAGUUCUCUGUUAUAAUGUAGUUCAUGCGGCUCUUAUUAAUAAUAACAAUGUCUUUUUUAUGUUCUUUCUGGUCUUCUCUUGCGGGUCUUGUUUAUAUGUCGUCUGCAACCACAAAAAUUACUAUGUGUAUCUAAUAAUUACUUGCGUGUUUUGCUUAUAUGUCGUCGAGUAUUUAAUAAUCAAUAUGUGUUUAUGCAGGUAGACAUAAACAUGGGACUCCACAGCUACAGCCAGCCUUCGCAGUCUGACGAUAUAUUUUGCAACUCAGAGGACGGUAGCUUCAGCGAGAUGGAAGAUCUCAUUCGACGUGACCAAGCUGAGUUAAGCUUACACGCUAGUUCACAGGUUCAGUAUCCUCCUCAACCAGAGGUUGAGUUUGGCAUCCCACAAACUUGUUACUGCGGUGCUAAGCCUCUCCUUGCAACAUCUCGGACUGAUCCAGGUUAAGUAAAAUCUCGUCUAGUCUUGUAAAGGGUAAUCACCUCCUGAUAUACUGUCUUCUUCAUAGUCUUGCGUGUGUGAAGAGAGGGAGAUGUAAACGAAGUCGAUGAAACCUACUCCGUGUGUUUCUCCUCUCUUGUCGAAACUCAAGCGAAUUCGAUUCACCGCUGUCGAUCUGAUUCGCCUUAAUCCGCUUCUCCUCGAUCCAUUUCUCUUCGCUCUGUUUCCUCUCGCUCUUUUUCUCGUCGAUUGUUCGUUCCUUUAGACAUCGAUUCACUCCACCUCCGUCGGUUCCUUUCGACAUCGUUUCACUCCACCUCUGUCGGUUCCUUUCGACAUCGAUUCAGUCCACCUCUGAACCGGUUCCUUUCGACAUCGAUUCAGAGUCGACCCAAACUUGGGAAGGUAUGUGUCUAACCUCCUUUGUAAUUUUGAGAAACCGAGUAGGGGUGUGUAGAUUCAAUGGUUGUUUGUUGUUUGGUUGUUUGUUGAUUAAAUGAUUGAUUUGAUUCGCUCUUCUCGUUCGUUGUUUGAUAUGCUCCGCUCUUGUGAUUGAAGUGGUUGUGAACGGAAUAGAUAUAUAAAAAUGUAUUGAUUCGUUGGUUCUUUGAUGCUUGCAAAAACUUUAAGAUUGAAUGGCUGUGAAUGAAAACUCGUAUAGAUUGAUCGAUAAUUCGUAUAGCUUCUAAGCUCGGGUCUUCUGUAUAUAUUUGAUGUAAUGGUUGUUUCAUAAUUAAUAUUCGUAUAGCUUUAUUGAAAAUUCGUAUAGCUUCUCUACCUUUCAAAAUCGGAUAGGUUGAUAGAAUUCUUUGGUCUGUUAUCAGUUAAAAUUUGAAGUAUUUUAAACAACUUAGAAUUAUGGUUUACAUCUCUUCACUCUUUACUCAACUAGAGUGACACCUCCUUAAUUUCACUCUUUACUCUAGUAGACUCACACUUCUUUACGUCUUUACUGAACUAGACAAACUAGUUCUACUGUCGUCGUUACUUGAAACCGUAGAUAGGUUAGUAAUAAGUUCAGAUUAGACAUAUAUGGUUUAUGGUUAGUCUUUAUGUAGAAACUUAAUACUCUUCACCAGCUAAUAUUAAACUCCCAUCUCAAUCCCCUUAAAUAUACACACUUGCCUUCUCUCUUCUAUCAUCUUCUAAUCUACAACUCUCUCUCAAAUAUUUAUCUUGUAAAACUCGUAUGGGUUCAAGAAAUUUUCAAAGUCAGUCCUCUAGUUAUGUAGGACUGCUUAACGGUCAACAAGGAAGUCGUGUCGAUGAAACUAGUGGAGAAUCGAAGAUCCCUCCCUUUAGUUCACAACAAGCUGAACAGACGCCAGUAGACACACCAGUGGACCGUAAUGCUAGACGCAAAUGGAGCCCAGCUGAUGACGCGGUUCUAAUCUCUGCUUGGCUUAACACUUCGAAGGAUGCCGUUGUUGGAAAUGAGCAGAAGUUGGGGGCAUUCUGGAAACGGGUUGGAGAUUAUUAUGCUGCAAGUCCUCAUGGGCAACAGGAGGGUGAAAAGAGAGGGGAUCUUACUUGUAAGAAGAGAUGGCACAGAAUAAACGAUCAAGUUACAAAGUUCUGUGGGGCUUACUCCGCGGCAGAGAGACAAAUUGGGAGUGGUGAGAGUGACACUGAUGUUCUAAAGAAGGCUCACGACAUCUUCUACUCAGAUCAGCAAAGCAAGUUUACACUUGAGCAUGCUUGGUGCGUGUUGCGCUUUGAACAAAAAUGGCUUAGCCUCAACCCUCCUAAAGCCACUCACACUUCGAAGAGGAAGGAUGGUGAGACAGAUACAAGCGCCGCUGUCCCUGAUCACGAAAUCCGGCCUGAAGGUUGCAAGGCGGCUAAACAAAAAAGGUCGACUGUUCAAGGCAAGUCUGUUGCUGAGUAUACAACCAUAUGGGAAAUGAAGAAAGAGGAUUUGGCUACACAGGAGAGACUGUCCAAGCUAGCUAUACUUGACACUCUCCUUGCGAAGAAAGAACCAUUAAGUGAGGCGGAGGAGGUUGUGAAGAAUAAGCUGCUAGCCAAGUAUUUCUGAAAGAUUAGGAUAUAAUCUUAUAAGUCUCUGUUUUAAAAUCCAUGUUUUAGUUCUCUGUUAUAAUGUAGUUCAUGCGGCUCUUAAUAAUAACAAUGUCUUUUUUAUGUUCUUUCUGGUCUUCUCUUGCGGGUCUUGUUUAUAUGUCGUCUGCAACCACAAAAAUUACUAUGUGUAUCUAAUAAUUACUUGCGUGUUUUGCUUAUAUGUCGUCGAGUAUUUAAUAAUCAAUAUGUGUUUAUGCAGGUAGACGUAAACAUGGGACUCCACAGCUACAGCCAGCCUUCGCAGUCUGACGAUAUAUUUUGCAACUCAGAGGACGGUAGCUACAGCGAGAUGGAAGAUCUCAUUCGACGUCACCAAGCUGAGUUAAGCUUACACGCUAGUUCACAGGUUCAGUAUCCUCCUCAACCAGAGGUUGAGUUUGGCAUCCAACAAACUUGCUACUGCGUUGCUAAGCCUCUCCUUGCAACAUCUCGGAAUGAUCCAGGUUAAGUAAAAUCUCAUAUAGUCUUGUAAAGGGUAAUCACCUCCUGAUAUACUGUCUUCCUCAUAGUCUUGCGUGUGUUCACCACAGGUAGAAGAUACUACACAUGUGAGAACGUGGACGAUGGAGAGUGCCAUGUUUGGAAAUGGUGGGAUGAAGCCAUGAUGGAAGAGAUGAGAUCCCGAGAACCACAUGUGAUUCAGCUAGAGGAAAAGGUGGACACUCUUACACUUUGCAGUGACAUCGAGACUGACCAGAGACUGGCUAGAGUUGAGAAAAUUGUGGGUGAUAUAGGAAAGGAACAAUCCAAGCUUAGGCUGGGAUUUGAGUACUUUGUAAGUGCAAUGAUUGUGGUGACAGUUUUACUUGGAAUUGUGCUGAUGGUUAAGUAAAUGAAGAUGGUGUUGUAUCUGAUGUACUGUAAUGGACUUCGAACUAUAUGUAAUAUGAUGUAUUGACUUUGACUGCUCUCAAUCGUAUUAUGUAUUGUAAUGUAUCAGACUUUAUAAUGUAGGUGUUUUCUAAUGUAGAUUUGCAUGGCCACAGAAACAAGUAUCAGACUUUAUAAUGUAGGUAUUUUCUAAUGUAAAUACUCAAGAUAGAUUUGCAUGGCCACAGAAACAAGUAGCGUUGAAUUCAAAUAUACAAUUAUAUCAGAACAUGUACUUUCCAUUGUUUGUUUGUAUCACGGGAAAGAAAGCUUUAAGUCACAAGAUGAGAUGAGAGUCACGAGAUGAACUAAAGACCAAUUAUAAAUAAGACACUUCUUCUUUCAUAAACACUUGUACUUCUCCUUACAUUCAUAUCUUUUUCUUUCUUUCAUAACUUCUUUUUUCAUAAACACUUCCACUUCUUCUUGUUUCAUUCCUUUAAAUUUCUUUUUAAAAAUGGCAUCUUCUUCCCAUUAUCAUUACCAUAGAGGUGAUGAUAAUGCAUUUGAGACCGUAUUUGAUGAUAUAUUUGAAGAUCUCGAAGCUAUUCCCGAACCAAAAGAGCGAAAAAACGUAUUUUUAUCGAGAGAAACCGGGAAGAAGGCCACAACAACCUUUGGAAUGAUUAUUUUAGCGACACUCCAACAUAUCCGCACAAUUUGUUCCGCCGACGAUUUCGAAUGAACAAGUCAUUGUUCUUAUAUAUUGUGCAUCGUCUCUCUACUGAAGUUGAGUAUUUUAAACCCAAAGAAGAUGCAACCGGAC
rnacentral:lncRNA from 1 species